UGGUACCCCAAACAGAGCACCGUGUGGUGGUUUGGGUUUUUCCCCCAGUCCCAACUGACGGGCCUGGAUGUCUUCUAGCAGAGGGAAGCCACAGACAGACUUAAGGAUGGGGGGGGGGGGGGGGGGGCUUUAACCCUUCACUGCCUUAACCGAGGCGGAGUGCCUCGGGGCUUCAUUUCUUCCCCCAUCCUUCCCCAGAGCUUCCCCCUGGGCUUUGCCAACCCCCAACCUUCCUCAAGCCCCGGGAUCCCCCGCUCCGAGCCUGCCAAGCCUCACCAGAGCCCCUUCAGGUUUCCAGCCCGCGUCACAGAACCCUGAUCGAGGGAGGACCAGCAGAGGCAGCCAGGACCGCAAAGCUACUGGGGGGAGGGGGGAAGCCACCCCCGCCUCCUACCCCGGCACCUCCAGCCUGACUUGUUGAAUGGGGUAGGCAGCCCAGCUGUACACAGCGGCCAGUAUUACCACUGAAAGAACUUUCAUCACGGCUGGAAGGGAGGGAGGGGGAACCAAAGUUUCCUUUUGCCUGCCUCCCAACACCUCCCGGAGGGGGAGCAGGUGCUGAACUGGGAUGGGAGAGAAGGAGGGGAAGCGACCGAGGGAGCAAAGGGCCUCUAGAGCUCUCUUUUCCAAAGAACACCCCCCAGACCACCAGGAAAUGACUAGAGUCAGCUUCACCUGGCAAAGUCACCCCAGGAAAGUCUCUAAGUCUCCAAAGCACAAUGAAGGUGUCAGCCUGCACUGGGAAAAGGAGUUUCCUCACCUGAGAGCUGCCUUUGCCAAUGAAAUCCCAGGGCUCACCCUUUUCCCCUUAUAACCCAAUGAGGACCUGGCCAAUGGCACAUUUCAGAAGCUGAAUGAUGGCUUGUUGACUCAUUUGUUGGCCCCCUACCCCUUGGAAUGUAAGCCCUGGAGAGCAA